AAAAUGGCGCAAGCCACGAGAGCAAUGAGUAGGGCCUUGGCAUUCAUUAUUGGUUCCUGAGGAG
rnacentral:lncRNA from 1 species